rnacentral:rRNA from 1 species
UACGAAGGGGGCUAGCGUUGUUCGGAAUCACUGGGCGUAAAGGGCGCGUAGGCGGCUUUCUAAGUCGGGGGUGAGAGCCUGUGGCUCAACCACAGAAUUGCCUUCGAUACUGUAGAGCUUGAGACCGGAAGAGGUAAGUGGAACUGCGAGUGUAGAGGUGAAAUUCGUAGAUAUUCGCAAGAACACCAGUGGCGAAGGCGGCUUACUGGUCCGGUUCUGACGCUGAGGCGCGAAAGCGUGGGGAGCAAACAGG